rnacentral:rRNA from 1 species
UACGUAGGGGGCAAGCGUUGUCCGGAUUUAUUGGGCGUAAAGAGCGUGUAGGCGGCCAUGUAGGUCCGUUGUGAAAACUCGAGGCUCAACCUCGAGACGCCGAUGGAAACCGUCUGGCUAGAGUCCGGAAGAGGAGAGUGGAAUUCCUGGUGUAGCGGUGAAAUGCGCAGAUAUCAGGAAGAACACCCGUGGCGAAGGCGGCUCUCUGGGACGGUACUGACGCUGAGACGCGAAAGCGUGGGGAGCGAACAGG